GGUGUUAUACUUUAAGUUAAAAGACCUUGUUUGCAUCUAGAGAAUGAAGUAUAAAUGCUUCUAACGCCA
rnacentral:tRNA from 1 species